CUCCCGGGGCUGUCUCAUGGGAGGACGCUGAGAGCGUCUGACAGGGUCUGGGGGAGCACCUGGAUAUGCGCUUGGAUACGUGAAGCGUUGCUUAAAGGAGGUGCCGAGGGACAUACCUUUGCCGGGAAGCAGCAGCUUGAACAGGCUUUAGGUGAUCCACUGAUAUUAUGCCAAGACCCCCUCAGCAAUGGGCCAACAGACCCGGUUCGUCGCUCUUGUGGGAACUCGGGAAGUAGUACAGGGCUCUGUGAUGAAGCCUUGACCUUUUCCAUUUGAAGGUGUCCCCUGGGAAGCCUUCAGGAAGGCUGAGGAGUUGCUGCAGUUCCUGCGAUGAUGGCAUCGGCCCCUGAGCAUUGCCGACGCGUGCAGCCCGAGGAGCCGGAAAUUCUUAGGAGAAUGCUGACCAAGGGACCUCAGCCCGGUGACUGUGGGAAAUUCCCAGCGAGCAAGGCGGCCUUCCUUUGUACCCAACGUGGAUUCUCAUCCCCAGAUGUCUGAGAGAUAAGUCGAGGCCUAUGACCUCCCAGAGGAGAUGAAAGCAGUCCACUUGCAAGAUGUCUUUGUUCAGGAUGCCGGAGACCAGGUUGGGUGCAAGGUUAAAGUACACUUGUGACAUAAUUCAGUCGCAUCAGGGAGGUUGUGUUUUCACGGUAUCUCUGCAUGCUUUUUUGCUUUGUUUCUUUGGAGGUGCUACCAAUGCCAUAGAGUCUGGGUAUCAGAUUAGAGAUGGCAUUCGGGGCUCUGAGGACGUGCAGGGUCCAAGUUGCCGGCAACUCGAGUUUAGGAGAAAUCCAGUAAUGUUUCAGUAUUUCUAGGUUGACACUGGGUUAUUGGCCAGCGCAAGAGGCCACAAAAGGAGACCAUUUUCCAAGGGAAAAGAUAAUUAAUUUCUCCAGGAUCUGUUUAUCAGAAUAGAGGUGGCACUUGGGGCUUCAAGGACUUGCAGGGUCCUAACUGAUGGCAGCUUUAGUUUUGGAGAAAUCCAGAGAAGUUUGCAAACUUUCUGGUUGGUGCCACACUGUCUGCUAGAACGAGUGCCCGCAGAGGGAGGCCAUUUUCCAUUCAAAAAAUAAGUAAUUUCCCCAGGUCUGGGUACCAGCUCAGAGGUGGCCUUUGGGGCUCAGAGGACUUGCCUGGUCUUACUUACUGGCAGCUUUAGUUUUGGUGAAAUGCAGCAAAGUUUACAAAUUUCUAGCUUGGCAGCCCACUGGCUGCCUAUGCGAGUAGAUGCAACUGGAGGUAAUUUUUAGAGGUUAAGAGAAAUUAUUUCCCCAGGUCUGGGUAUCAAUUCAAAGCUAGCUUUUGAUCUCUAAAGGUUUACUGGGUUGUAAUUGCUUCCAGCUUUAGUUUUGGAGAAAUCCAGCAAAGUUUUGAAAUAUUCAGGCGUGUACCCCAGUGUCAGCCAGUGUGUGUGGCUGCCAGUUGAGACCAUUUUCCAUGGAAAAGAGAAGUAAUUUCCCCGGGGUCUGGGUGUCAGGUUAGAGGUGGCAUUUGGGGCUCCAAGGGCAUGCUCAGCCCUAGUUGCUGGCAGGUUCAGUUUUGCAGAAAUCCAGGAAUGUUUGGAAUAUUUCAGGGUGGUACCCAAGUGUCAGCCAGUGGGUGUGGCUGCAUACUGAGGCCAUUUUCCAUGGGAAAAAAAAGUCCUUCUCCAGGGUCUGGAUAUCAGCUCAGAGGUGUCCUUUGGGGCUCAAAGGACUUGCAGGGUCCUUGUUACUGGAUGCUUUAGUUUUGGAGAAAUCCAGGAAAGUUUGGAAAUUUCCAGCUCUGCCCCCCACUGUCUACCAGGGCGAGUGGCUUCAAAAGUAAGGCAUUUCCCCAGGAUCUGGGUAUCAGCUCAGAGGUGGCCUUUGGAAGUUUAAGGACUUGCAGGGUCCUAGUUGCUGGCAACCUCACUUUUGGAGAAAUCCAGCAAAGACUCCAAUUUCUAGCUUGGUACCUUAUUGUUGGCAAGUGUGAGUGGCCACAAAGGGAGACCAUUUUCCAUGGUGAAAAUAAAGUCAUUUCCCCAGGGUCGGAGUAUCAUAUGAGAGGUGGCCUUUAGGGCUCGAAGGACUUGCAGGGUCCUCCUUGGUGGCAGCUUCAGUUUGGGAGAAAACCAGCAAAGUUUGCGAGUUUUCUAGCUUUGUACUACACUGUCUUCCAGGGCAAGUGGCUGCAAUUGGAGGCUAUUUUCCAUGGGAAAAUAAAGUCCUUCUCCAGGGUCUGGAUAUCAGCUCAGAGGUGUCCUUUGGGGCUCAAAGGACUUGCGUGGUCCUAGAUUCUGUAAGUCUCUCACUUUUGGAGAAAUCCAGCAAAGAUUUCAAAUUUCUAGCUUGGCUCUGUACUAUUGGCAAGUGCAAGUGGAUGCAAUUGGAGGCCAUUUUCCAUUGGAAAGAGAAGUCCUUUCUCACGUCUAGGUAUCAGGUCAGAGGUGGCAUUUAGGGCUCUAAGGGCAUGCGGGGUCCUAGUUACUGGCAGCUUCAGUGUUGGAGAACCCCAGCAAAGUUUGGAAAUUUUCAGGUUAGUACUCCAGUGUAAGCUGGUGGGUGUGGCCGCAUACAGAGGGCAUUUUCCAUGGUUAAAAGAGGUCUUUCUCCAGGGUCUGUGUAUCAGCUCAGAGGUGGCCUUUAGGGCUCUAAGGACUUGAAGGGUCCUAGUUACUGGAUGCUUUACUUUUGGAGAAAUCCAGCAAAGCUUGCAAAUUUUCUGGUUGGUACCAUAGUGUCGGCCUGUGCGUGUGGCUGCCAAUUGAGACCAUUUCCUCAGGGUCAGAGGUGUCAGAGGUGGCAUUUGGGGUUCUAACAACAUGCUCAGUCCUCCUUGCUGGCAGCUUUAGUUUUGGAGAAAUCCAGCAAAGUUUGGAAAUUUCAGGUUGGUACCCCAGUGCUGGCCAGUGGGUGUGGCUGCAAACAGAGGCCAUUUUCCAUGGGAAAAGGAAGUCGUUUCCCCAGGGUCUGGAUAUCAGCUCAGAGGUGGCCUUUGUGAUUUUAAGGACUUUUAGGGUCCUGGUUGCUGUGAGCCUCAGUAUUAGAGAAAUUCAGCAAAGUUUGCAAAUUUUUGCCUUGGCACCAUAGUAUUAGCAACUGCGAGGGGAUGCAAUUGGAGGCCAUUUUCCAGGGAAAGAGAAAUCCUUUCUCAUGGUCCAGGUAUCAGCUCAGAAGUGGCAUUUGAGGCUGUAAGAGUAAAUAAUGAAUUUGGCAAAAGGAAAAGCCCGGACCUGAUUUCCCCUGGCGUCUGGAAUGGUCUUGACAAAGGAGAAAACUCGGACUGGAUUCCAACCAAGUCCGGAAUGGAGUCUGGAAAAGGAAAACUUGGACUGGAUUCUGGCCAGCGUCCGGAAUGGACUUGGCAAAAGAGAAAACCAAAACUGGAUUCCUUCCACAGUCCGGAAUGGAGUUGGCAAAAGGGAAAACCUGGACCAGAUUUCCCCUGCAGAUUUGAAUGGAGUUGGCACAAGGGAAAACCCAGGCCGGAUUUUCCCUGGAGUUUGGAAUGCAGUCGGGAAAAGGGAAAACCUGGGCCAGAUUCCAGCCGGAGUCUGCAAUGGAGUCAGGAAAAGGGAAAACCCGGACUGGAAUCCAGCAGGAGUCUGGAAUGGAGUUGGCAAAAGGGAAAACCUGGACCAGAUUUCCCCCAGAGUCCAGAAUGGAGUCAACAAAAGGGAAAACCGUGACUGGAUUCACCCUGGCAUCCAUAACUGAGUCGGCAAAAGGGAAAAUGUGGACCAGAUUCCAGAUGGAGUCUGGAAUGGAGCGAGGAAAAGGGAAAACCCAGGCCAGAAUCCGGCAGGAGUCCGGAAUGGAGUCAGCAAAAGAGAACACCCAGACCGGAUUUCCACCGAAAUGCAGAGUGGAGUCUGCAGAUGGGAAAACCAAGACCACAUUCCCACCAGAGUGCGUAAGGGACUUUGCAAAAGUAAAAAGCCAGAGCGGAAUCCAACCAAAGUCUGGAAUGGAGUCAGCAAAAGAGAAAACCCAGACCGGGAUUUCCCCUGGAUUCCAGAUGGGAGUCGGAAAAAGGGAAAACCCAGAUAGGAUUCAUGGCUGGGUCCGGAAUGGAGUUGGCAAAAGCGGAAAACUCGGACUGGAUUCCCUCCGGAGUGUGGAAUAGAGCCGGAAAAGCAGAAACCUAGACUGGAUUGCAGCCGAUGUCUGGAAUGGAGUCGACUGAAGGGAAAACCCACACCAGAUUCUGGCAGGAGUCUGCAGUGGAGUCAGCAGAAUGGAAAACCCAGACCAGAUUGCCCCCAGAAUCCGGAAUGGAGUUGAUAAAAUGAAAACCUGUCCCGGAUCGUGGCUGGAGUCCGGCAUGGAGUCUGCAACAGGGAACACCCAGUCAAGAUUCCGGCCAAAAUCCGGAAUGGAUUUGGCAAAAGCAGAAGUCCGAGACCGGAUUAUCCCCCG